rnacentral:rRNA from 1 species
AGAAUCAACGCUGGCGGCGUGCCUAACACAUGCAAGUCGAACGAGAAAGUGGAGCAAUCCAUGAGUAAAGUGGCGCACGGGUGAGUAACACGUGACUAACCUACCCAGGAGUGGGGGAUAACUGAGGGAAACCUUAGCUAAUACCGCAUAAUACCUACGGGUCAAAGGAGCAAUUCGCUUCUGGAGGGGGUCGCGGCCGAUUAGUUAGUUGGCAGGGUAAUGGCCUACCAAGACGAUGAUCGGUA